UACAGAGGGGGCAAGCGUUGUUCGGAAUUACUGGGCGUAAAGGGCGCGUAGGCGGCCCGCUAAGUCGAACGUGAAAUCCCCGAGCUCAACUCGGGAACUGCGUCCGAUACUGGUGGGCUUGAAUCCGGGAGAGGGAUGCGGAAUUCCAGGUGUAGCGGUGAAAUGCGUAGAUAUCUGGAGGAACACCGGUGGCGAAGGCGGCAUCCUGGACCGGCAUUGACGCUGAGGCGCGAAAGCUGGGGGAGCAAACGGG
rnacentral:rRNA from 1 species